CCUCCCACUUCUUCUCUCUCUUCCUUUUCUCCUUCUUUUUCUCUUUUCCCCUUUUCUCUCCCCCUGAUUCACGGUAGCAGCCCCCCUUUUUCCUCUUUUCUUUUCUUUCUUUUUUCUCUCCUCUAUUUUCGGUGGACAACAGCCCCUCCCCUGUUCCAGCACCCGAUUUCCUCUCCCUUUUUCCUUCUCUUCCAUUUUCUUCCUCUCCUCGUCUCACUGCCAUGCACGCACACGCCCGAAAGGAAGAAGCACUGAGAGACCGAGAUCGUGCGAGAGAUUCUGAGAUGGAGAGUUCGGCUAUGGAGGAAAACUCAUGGAAAUCAGGAUAGUGUUCGAAUUGGAGACUUCAAUUAGUUCUCCAAUGUAGAGUUCGAGUCGUGAGUCCAAUGCAGCCAAGAUGUUCCUCUGGCUGCAGGUACUCCGGUCGUAGGGGAGAGUGUUGUAGAUGUGCACUUGGGAUAAUAUGACCGAAGCUCGCCGCGACGGUCGUAAUGGGUGGACCAUAGUUGUCCACUAUUAUGUAGGUUUUGUUUAUGGCUGGUGAUGCUUUGGUCACUUGUUAUUGUAUAAGCCAUUCCUGUUGCUUAAAUAUUCUAUAGAUAGGAUUUAAACAUAUAGAUGUUAAAUGGCUCUGUAUUGUAAAUAAUUUGUAAUAGAUGUAUAAGCUAUGCUUUUUGCUAUUCA